GAAUUUUCACAGCUCUUUUAGAAUGUUUUCUAUCAGGUUUUCUGAUCUUGCUCAGAAAACUUUU